GGUAAAAUGGCUGAAAUUAGGCAGUAAAUUGUAAAUUUACUUAUGAAUGUAUAUUCUUUUACCA
rnacentral:tRNA from 1 species